rnacentral:rRNA from 1 species
UACGGGGGGGGCAAGCGUUGUUCGGAUUUACUGGGCGUAAAGGGCGCGUAGGCGGUCAGCACAUGUCAGUUGUGAAAUCUCCGGGCUUAACUCGGAAAGGUCAACUGAUACUGUGCGACUAGAGUGCGGAAGGGGCAACUGGAAUUCCUGGUGUAGCGGUGAAAUGCGCAGAUAUCAGGAAGAACACCCGUGGCGAAGGCGGCUCUCUGGGACGGUACUGACGCUGAGACGCGAAAGCGUGGGGAGCGAACAGG